rnacentral:rRNA from 1 species
GACGAACGCUGGCGGCGUGCUUAACACAUGCAAGUCGAACGAGUCUGCCCUGUUUUUUGCGGGGUGGGUCAGUGGCGAACGGGUGAGUAACACGUGAGUAACCUGCCCCUCACUUCUGGAUAACCGCUUGAAAGGGUGGCUAAUACGGGGUGUUCUGGCUGUGCCGCAUGGUGUGGCUGGGAAAGAUUCACUUUUGUGGUGUUUUGGUGGGGGAUGGGCUCGCGGCCUAUCAGCUUGUUGGUGGGGUGAUGGCCUGCCAAGGCUUUGACGGGUAGCCGGCCUGAGAGGGUGGGCGGUCACACUGGGACUGAGAUACGGCCCAGACUCCUGCGGGAGGCAGCAGUGGGGGGUAUUGCACAAUGGGCGGAAGCCUGAUGCAGCGACGUCGCAUGAGGGAUGGAGGCCUUUGGGUUGUGAACCUCUUUCGCCGGUGAAGAAGGUCCUGCUCUUUGUGGUGGGGUUGACGGUAGCCGGGUUAUGAAGCGCCGGCUAACUACGUG